rnacentral:rRNA from 1 species
AUUGAACGCCGGCGGCAGGCCUAACACAUGCAAGUCGAGCGGGGUUUUCGGAUCUAGCGGCGGACGGGUGAGUAAUGCGUAGGAAGCUACCCGAUAGAGGGGGAUACCAGUUGGAAACGACUGUUAAUACCGCAUAAUGUCUACGGACCAAAGUGUGGGACCUUCGGGCCACAUGCUAUCGGAUGCGCCUACGUGGGAUUAGCUAGUUGGUGAGGUAAUGGCUCACCAAGGCGACGAUCCCUAGCUGGUUUGAGAGGAUGAUCAGCCACACUGGAACUGAGACACGGUCCAGACUCCUACGGGAGGCAGCAGUGGGGAAUAUUGGACAAUGGGCGCAAGCCUGAUCCAGCCAUGCCGCGUGUGUGAAGAAGGCCUUCGGGUUGUAAAGCACUUUCAGUAGGGAGGAAGCGUUGUGUGUUAAUAGUACACAGCGUUGACGUUACCUACAGAAGGAGCACCGGCUAACUCUGUGCCAGCCGCCGCUGUAACAC